CACAAGAAAAGGAUGUUUACCGUUAUGAAUGCCAUAACGUAACGUGAUGGAACAUUAUGCUUUAUAUAUGGGUAACUACUCAUACAUUUUAGCUUUCAUUUAAUGUUACUAGUGAAGUUAACAAAGUGCAGCGGUACCUCCUAUCCUGCAGUGACAACUGAUAAACACCCCCAUUUCUAAAUCUCUGCUGACAUUU